ACACCGCCCGUCGCUACUACCGAUUGAACGGCUCAGUGAGGCCUUCGGACUGGCCGAGAGUGGUGGGCAACCACCGCUCAUGUGCCGGAAAGUUGUACGAACUCGGUCGUUUAGAGGAAGUAAAAGUCGUAACAAGGUCUCCGUUGGUGAACCAGCGGAGGGAUCAUUACAGAGUUGCAAAACUCCCAACCCUUUGUGAACCACAACCUCCAGUCGUUGCUUCGGCGGGCCCGCCCGCCGGAGGUUCAAACAAACUCAUGUUUUCCGAGUACGUCUUCUGAGCAAACAAGAAAAAAUAAAUCAAAACUUUCAACAACGGAUCUCUUGGCUCUGGCAUCGAUGAAGAACGCAGCGAAAUGCGAUAAGUAAUGUGAAUUGCAGAAUUCAGUGAAUCAUCGAAUCUUUGAACGCACAUUGCGCCCGCCGGUAUUCCGGCGGGCAUGCCUGUCCGAGCGUCAUUUCAACCCUCAAGCCCGCUUCGGCUUGGUGUUGGGGCGCCCGGGGCUCCCAGCGGGCCCCGGGGCCCCCAAGUUCAUCGGCGGGCUCGUCGGAACCCUGAGCGUAGUAGCAAGGCCCUAAGAAGCCGAACCCCCUCGCUCGGCCCGUCCCGGCGUGCACACCAGCCGCUAAAGAGACCCCAACGGGAACCAUAAGGGUUGACCUCGGAUCAGGUAGGAAUACCCGCUGAACUUAAG
rnacentral:rRNA from 1 species